rnacentral:rRNA from 1 species
CCCUUAGAUGUUCUGGGCUGCACGCGUGCUACAAUGGCGCUUGCAACAAGUCUUGCCAACCCGAUAGGGUGAGCGGAUCUUUGAAGAGGCGUCGUGAUCGGGACAGUUGAUUGCAAUUAUUCGACUCGAACGAGGAAUUCCUUGUAAUCGCGAUUCAUCAUAUCGCGCUGAAGACGUCCCUGCCCUUUGUACACACCGCCCGUCGCUCCUACCGAUUGAGCGAUCCGGUGAAUGUUUUGGACUGGCGUCAGAAGCGGUUCGCUCCUGACACUACGAAAUUUUGUAAACCUUAUCGCUUAGAGGAAGGAAAAGUCGUAACA